GAUCAUGGCUCAGGACGAACGCUGGCGGCGUGCCUAACACAUGCAAGUCGAACGGAAGCAGAGAUUUCGGUUUUUGCUUUAGUGGCGAACGGGUGGGUAACGCGUGAGGAACCUGCCUUUCAGUGGGGGACAACAGUUGGAAACGACUGCUAAUACCGCAUAAUGCUUUUUGAUGGUAUCAUUGAAAAGCCAAAAGAUUUAUUGCUGAAAGAUGGCCUCGCGUCUGAUUAGCUAGUUGGUGGGGUAACGG
rnacentral:rRNA from 1 species